GAUGAACGCUAGCUACAGGCCUAACACAUGCAAGUCGAGGGACCGGCGCACGGGUGAGUAACACGUAUCCAACCUGCACUGUACUCGGGGAUAGCCUUUCGAAAGAAAGAUUAAUACCCGAUAUAAAGGAUGGGGAUGCGGUCCAUUAGGUUGUUGGUGAGGUAACGGCUCACCCAGCCUUCGAUGGAUAGGGGUUAUGAGUGGAAGGUCCCCGUCAAUGGAACUGCGACACGGUCCAAAAUCGGAGGCGAGGCAGCAGAGAGGAAUAAUGGUCAAUGUGUGCUAGCCUGAACCUGCCAAGUAGCGUGAAGGAUGCAUGGUUUGUGGUCGUAAAUUUCUUUUAUAUAAGAAUAUGUAUUAUAUGAAUAAGGAUCGGCUAACUCCGUGCCAGCAGCCGCGGUAAUUC
rnacentral:rRNA from 1 species